rnacentral:rRNA from 1 species
CCGCGUGAGUGAUGAAGGUUUUCGGAUCGUAAAACUCUGUUGUUAGGGAAGAACAAGUAUCGGAGUAACUGCCGGUACCUUGACGGUACCUAACCAGAAAGCCACGGCUAACUACGUGCCAGCAGCCGCGGUAAUACGUAGGUGGCAAGCGUUGUCCGGAAUUAUUGGGCGUAAAGCGCGCGCAGGCGGUCCUUUAAGUCUGAUGUGAAAGCCCACGGCUCAACCGUGGAGGGUCAUUGGAAACUGGGGGACUUGAGUGCAGAAGAGGAGAGUGGAAUUCCACGUGUAGCGGUGAAAUGCGUAGAGAUGUGGAGGAACACCAGUGGCGAAGGCGACUCUCUGGUCUGUAACUGACGCUGAGGCGCGAAAGCGUGGGGAGCGAACAGGAUUAGAUACCCUGGUAGUCCACGCCGUAAACGAUGAGUGCUAAGUGUUAGAGGGUUUCCGCCCUUUAGUGCUGCAGCUAACGCAUUAAGCACUCCGCCUGGGGAGUACGGCCGCAAGGCUGAAACUCAAAGGAAUUGACGGGGGCCCGCACAAGCGGUGGAGCAUGUGGUUUAAUUCGAAGCAACGCGAAGAACCUUACCAGGUCUUGACAUCCUCUGCCAACCCUAGAGAUAGGGCGUUCCCCUUCGGGGGACAGAGUGACAGGUGGUGCAUGGUUGUCGUCAGCUUGUG